rnacentral:rRNA from 1 species
GCCGGGGGGGGGGGGGCUUAACACAUGCAAGUCGAACGAUGAUCCCCAGCUUGCUGGGGGGAUUAGUGGCGAACGGGUGAGUAACACGUGAGUAACCUGCCCUUAACUCUGGGAUAAGCCUGGGAAACUGGGUCUAAUACCGGAUAUGACUCCUCAUCGCAUGGUGGGGGGUGGAAAGCUAUUGUGGUUUUGGAUGGACUCGCGGCCUAUCAGCUUGUUGGUGAGGUAAUGGCUCACCAAGGCGACGACGGGUAGCCGGCCUGAGAGGGUGACCGGCCACACUGGGACUGAGACACGGCCCAGACUCCUACGGGAGGCAGCAGUGGGGAAUAUUGCACAAUGGGCGCAAGCCUGAUGCAGCGACGCCGCGUGAGGGAUGACGGCCUUCGGGUUGUAAACCUCUUUCAGUAGGGAAGAAGCGGAAAGUGACGGUACUGCAGAAAGAAGCGCCGGCUAACUACGUGCCAGCAGCCGCGGUAAUACGUAGGGCGCAAGCGUUAUCCGGGAAUUAUUGGGCGUAAAGAGCUCGUAGGCGGUUUGUCGCGUCUGCCGUGAAAGUCCGGGGCUCAACUCCGGAUCUGCGGUGGGUACGGGCAGACUAGAGUGAUGUAGGGGAGACUGGAAUUCCUGGUGUAGCGGUGAAAUGCGCAGAUAUCAGGAGGAACACCGAUGGCGAAGGCAGGUCUCUGGGCAUUAACUGACGCUGAGGAGCGAAAGCAUGGGGAGCGAACAGGAUUAGAUACCCUGGUAGUCCAUGCCGUAAACGUUGGGCACUAGGUGUGGGGGACAUUCCACGUUUUCCGCGCCGUAGCUAACGCAUUAAGUGCCCCGCCUGGGGGAGUACGGCCGCAAGGCUAAAACUCAAAGGAAUUGACGGGGGCCCGCACAAGCGGCGGAGCAUGCGGAUUAAUUUCGAUGGCAACGCGAGAAACCUUACCAAGGCUUUGAACAUGGGCCGAAUCGCCGCAAAAAAUGUGGUUUCCCCUUUGGGGCCGGUUCACAGGUGGUGCAUGGUUGUCGUCAGCUCGUGUCGUGAGAUGUUGGGUUAAGUCCCGCAACGAGCGCAACCCUCGUUCCAUGUUGCCAGCGCGUGAUGGCGGGGACUCAUAGGAGACUGCCGGGGUCAACUCGGAGGAAGGUGGGGACGACGUCAAAUCAUCAUGCCCCUUAUGUCUUGGGCUUCACGCAUGCUACAAUGGCCGGUACAAAGGGUUGCGAUACUGUGAGGUGGAGCUAAUCCCAAAAAGCCGGUCUCAGUUCGGAUUGGGGUCUGCAACUCGACCCCAUGAAGUCGGAGUCGCUAGUAAUCGCAGAUCAGCACGCCGACCGA